rnacentral:ncRNA from 2 species
UAUAAUCUUCAGGGACGGGUGCAAUUCCCUACCGGCGGUAUAGCCCGCGAGCCGAAAGGCAGAUCCGGUUAGAUUCCGGAGCCGACAGUUAAAGUCUGGAUGGAAGAAGAUUUAU